GCCGGCCAGGGAGCCAGGCGGACACGGCGGGCGGCUCGUGCGUGCCAAGCGCGACAUGGCGCGGAAGCCGAGAAGCCCUGGAGGCCCAGUGAGCACGGGGAGGGGCUAGACACUGGCUGGACAACCAUUAGUGAGCUGGGGGCCGGGCGGCUUGGGGACUACAUUUCCCAGGACGCCAAGCGGUCGCGCCCGGAAGCGACGCACCUUAGGCUCAGUGCGCAGGCGCAGAUGCCGCCUUGAGCUAUAUAAGGAACGUUCGCCACUGUUCUCGUCCUUUCUUUCCGGCGUCUCCGUGAGCGUUUGCAACAUUUCAGAUAUGUCUCGUCACUGCGGGAUUAAUUUGCAGAUGGUCGCCCUCAUCAGGCAGUACAGAAUGGAGGUUGGAGGGAGAGGACAUCCAGGGAGAUGAGAAUUCGCCUACUACCUUAGUCACAAGGUUUGCCGACAGCGGAGACCAGACUUUGAGUGGAGCCUGAACUCAGGAGGGAGAGCAUUGGCCCGAGGGAGCCGUGGAUGCCAGUGUUUGUCAUGAUUUCAGGUACUUUUGGAUUACAGAAUACCAGACCUGUUCCUGCUGCCCAGCCCCAUAAGGCUGGUCAUGGCUGUGGCCUAUGCAGAAUGCAAAGAAGGGUUACUUUUUAGCUGAGGGGGAGUAAUGGCACUGUGUGCACUGCUACAGAAAUAAAAAAUAUUGGCCUUGUAUUUGUAGAAAUAAAAAUCUGACUAGUGAUUUAAUUUA